UAAACUCCAACUAGCGAAGCAAGCUGGACGUACAUAUGGUUGAGCAUGGGAUCACAAUGUGAUGCCCAAGAUCAUAGACUUCCUUUGAUUUAAAAGGUCUAUCUUUAUAAGGAAAGUUUAUCCUUCAGGUAUUCUUGGGAUGCUAACCAUUCAGCGAGAGGCUACGUCAAGGAUGGAGAGAAGCAAGGAAACAAGGGCAUCGAGAGGACGAUGACAUCACUACUGCAAGCACAUGGAAAUAAUCAUCGCAUCAUCGUCAUAUGGGGCAAUCAUACCCCGCGAUGACUAAGGUAUGUCAUUGAGGUAAGUCCACCACCAUGAUCUUUAUAGUUAAAUUAGUCAGCUUGGAUAAAAGUGAACUUAAGCAAAAGUCAAUUUCAUUGGCCCUAGAUCUAUCCUAGCUUUUACCAAAGUCCCAGCACACGUAGUGGUUGGGCCCCCUCUCUUUUCUUUCCCCUCUACUACACGCACACACACGAGCAACGGGAGGCCUAGUAGAGCCCAACUAGUCUGAUUGCUGCUGCCUCCCAGCCUUUGUAUAGACGCUCCUCCAAUGUUCCUUGACUCGUCCCUCGACGUCCCGGUGGGUUUGAACGUCGGGGGAGAAGAGUUCCUUCUUUUUAAAAAAAACUCAUCCUUGUCCUCUCCUCUUCACUCCACUCUCAUCUCCACUCAAACACACAAAGAUCCACUCCCACCAGCAAACCCUGCUCACCACCAUGGCUAGCAAAGGGCUCAUCCCCUUUGUCAAGCUGGGCAUGUGUUGGGAUACGAGGUAGGCUACGCUAGCGCAAAUCAAAAAUUUCUACCGCGUAAACUAGGAAAACUGCCGUAUAUGGAUCACGGGAUUACC
rnacentral:lncRNA from 1 species